rnacentral:rRNA from 1 species
UACGUAGGGGGCAAGCGUUAUCCGGAUUUACUGGGUGUAAAGGGAGCGUAGACGGCGAAGCAAGUCUGAAGUGAAAAUCCGGGGCUCAACCCCGGAAGUGCUUUGGAAACUGUUUUGCUGGAGUGUCGGAGAGGUAAGUGGAAUUCCUGGUGUAGCGGUGAAAUGCGUAGAUAUCAGGAAGAACACCGGAGGCGAAGGCGGCUUACUGGACGAUAACUGACGUUGAGGCUCGAAAGCGUGGGAAGCAAAC